GGGUCUGUAGCCUAGUGGCUAGAGCAUCGGAUUCACGAUUUGAAGGUUGGGGGUUCGAUUCCCGAUCCCACUCG
rfam:Macrostomum lignano uti_cns_0011665, whole genome shotgun sequence.